rnacentral:misc_RNA from 1 species
GGGACUGACUUUAAGUGUGAAUGAUUUGUCAGAGACCCGAGCCGUCCACUUCACUGAUGGGUUUUAAAUAAAAUACUCCCUGUCUUAGCGGCCGCUCGAGCAGAAAUUCGUCGAAGCUGACCAAUUCUCCGCAUUCGGUGCGGAAAAAAAAAAAAAAAAAAAAAAAAAAAAAAAAAAAAAAAAAAAAAAAAAAAAAAAAAAAAAAAAAAAAAAAAAAAAAAAAAAAAAAAAAAAAAAAAAA